CGAUGAUGCCCAGCUUGCUGGGUGGAUUAGUGGCGAACGGGUGAGUAAUACGUGAGUAACCUGCCCUUGACUCUGGGAUAAGCCUGGGAAACUGGGUCUAAUACUGGAUACUACCGUCCAUCGCAUGGUGGGUGGUGGAAAGGGUUUUACUGGUUUUGGAUGGGCUCACGGCCUAUCAGCUUGUUGGUGGGGUAAUGGCUCACCAAGGCGACGACGGGUAGCCGGCCUGAGAGGGUGACCGGCCACACUGGGACUGAGACACGGCCCAGACUCCUACGGGAGGCAGCAGUGGGGAAUAUUGCACAAUGGGCGGAAGCCUGAUGCAGCGACGCCGCGUGAGGGAUGACGGCCUUCGGGUUGUAAACCUCUUUCAGUAGGGAAGAAGCGAGAGUGACGGUACCUGCAGAAGAAGCGCCGGCUAACUACGUGCCAGCAGCCGCGGUAAUACGUAGGGCGCAAGCGUUGUCCGGAAUUAUUGGGCGUAAAGAGCUCGUAGGCGGUUUGUCGCGUCUGCUGUGAAAGCCCGGGGCUCAACCCCGGGUCUGCAGUGGGUACGGGCAGACUAGAGUGCAGUAGGGGAGACUGGAAUUCCUGGUGUAGCGGUGAAAUGCGCAGAUAUCAGGAGGAACACCGAUGGCGAAGGCAGGUCUCUGGGCUGUUACUGACGCUGAGGAGCGAAAGCAUGGGGAGCGAACAGGAUUAGAUACCCUGGUAGUCCAUGCCGUAAACGUUGGGCACUAGGUGUGGGGGACAUUCCACGUUUUCCGCGCCGUAGCUAACGCAUUAAGUGCCCCGCCUGGGGAGUACGGCCGCAAGGCUAAAACUCAAAGGAAUUGACGGGGGCCCGCACAAGCGGCGGAGCAUGCGGAUUAAUUCGAUGCAACGCGAAGAACCUUACCAAGGCUUGACAUUCACCGGACCGCCUCAGAGAUGGGGUUUCCCUUCGGGGUCGGUGGACAGGUGGUGCAUGGUUGUCGUCAGCUCGUGUCGUGAGAUGUUGGGUUAAGUCCCGCAACGAGCGCAACCCUCGUUCUAUGUUGCCAGCACGUGAUGGUGGGGACUCAUAGGAGACUGCCGGGGUCAACUCGGAGGAAGGUGGGGAUGACGUCAAAUCAUCAUGCCCCUUAUGUCUUGGGCUUCACGCAUGCUACAAUGGCCGGUACAAAGGGUUGCGAUACUGUGAGGUGGAGCUAAUCCCAAAAAGCCGGUCUCAGUUCGGAUUGAGGUCUGCAACUCGACCUCAUGAAGUCGGAGUCGCUAGUAAUCGCAGAUCAGCAACGCUGCGGUGAAUACGUUCCCGGGCCUUGUACACACCGCCCGUCAAGUCACGAAAGUUGGUAACACCCGAAGCCGGUGGCCUAACC
rnacentral:rRNA from 1 species